rnacentral:rRNA from 1 species
ACAACUUUCGACAACGGAUCUCUUGGUUCUCCCAUCGAUGAAGAACGCAGCGAAACGCGAUAGGUAAUGUGAAUUGCAGAAUUCCGUGAAUCAUCGAAUCUUUGAACGCACCUUGCGCUCCAUGGUGUUCCGGGGAGCAUGCCUGUUUGAGUGCCGCG